GCGGGUGUAGCACAAUGGCAGUGCGCUUGCUUCCCAAGCAAGAUACACGGGUUCGAUUCCCGUUACUCGCUCCG
rnacentral:tRNA from 4 species